GGCUGAAUUGAGAGAAUAGUUUAUUGCCAAUUCAACUGGAACACAGAGUGUAUGAAGAGUAAUGUGCAAUAUCUAGUAAGGUAGGCUGGGGUCACAUUGUGAAGUGCUUUCAGUAACAAGCUAGGAAGUUUGUAUUUUAUCCUAGAGGCAUUACAGAGUUAUUGAAGAUUUCCGAAAUAGCAGAGUGACAUAAUCAAUGCUUAGGAAAAUUAUUUUGUUAUUUGUGGAGAGGGGGAAGACUAGAAGCCAGGAGUCUGAUACAGACUAUAUAUCGUCCAGACGAAGAGGUGAUUAGAACUUGAACUGGAUCAGUGGUGUAAGUGAAGAUUUUGAGAAGUGACAAAUGCAUCUGCCAAGAGAAAAGGAGCUCAAAACUGUGUGAAAUACCAAUCAACUGAGAUGAGGAGAAAGUUCCAUGGAAUCUUGGGAAAAAGCAGUUAAGCAGCUUGAGCUGGCUGAAGGGAAUUCCUUCUCUGGCUGUUGAACCAGAAGGUGGAAGAUAAACUCCCUCUCUAUCAUCCGCCUUAUCCAUAAGACUGUGUGCUGAAAAGACUUUUGGGUUUUUAGCCCAGAAGAAACCUGUCACCAUUGCUGUCACAUCUCCUCUUAGGGAAAAAUAACUUUGUUUCCUGAAUUUGAAUAUAUCUUGAAAUCUUCAAUCAACAAGGAUAACUUAGAAAAUUUAGGGAGACCUAUUUUUCUCUCACCCCUGCCCUCUCCUUACCUCCUCUACCCAAAGAAUAAAAGAUCUCUUAGUUUAAAGGAUUUAAUUGUGGGAUUUAGUUAUUAGGGGAAAUCUUCAAGCUUGCCCUCUCUGAGAAGAAUAUUUCUAAGAUAGUUGAAAGGGAACAGGGUCUAAAGCUGUGCCUGUCCUGAUUGAUCCAAGAGAUGUUGCAGAGAUAGAAUGGACGAAACUGAUUAAAUAUAACAAGAACAGAGAAAAAGAAAGAAAACAACAGUGGGCAGGAAAAAAAUUUUGGAGACACCCAAGGUAUGAGGAUUGCCUGUCUCCUCCUUUUCCUCUACACACUGAACUUACGCUCCUGCCUGGCUGCUCAAGAAAAGGAGUGCCUGGCUGGUUGUGGGACAAGGAAGCAAAGAAUUGUAGACAGAAAGUCAUCCCUGGUCUCCUGCCUCUUCAUGGGCUCGUUGUGAUUUCUGCCGUACCUUUUCAGCCUUUAGGCCUGUCUUUAUGACACAUUAUCAGUGUCCGGAUGCAGCAAAAGUGGAGGCUGAGUCUGGCAAGCAAAUACCCUUCCUGUUGGGGCCUUCAGAACCCUUUACAAACAUAAGCAGGAGAGCAAGUGGAGGGUUCACCACUGCCCACAGACCUUCAAAGGAUUCACA
rnacentral:lncRNA from 1 species